rnacentral:rRNA from 1 species
GACGAACCGUCCAAACGUUAUUCGGAAUUACUGGGCUUAAAGGGUGCGUAGGCGGCGCGGAAAGUUGGGUGUGAAAUCCCUCGGCUCAACCGAGGAACGUCGAUCGAUACUGCUGUUCUUGAGGAUUGCAGAGGAGACUGGAAUUCCCGGUGUAGCGGUGAAAUGUGUAGAGAUCGGGAGGAACACCGGUGGCGAAGGCGGGUCUCUGGGCAAUUCCUGACGCUGAGGCGCGAAAGCGUGGGGAGCAAACGGG